rnacentral:rRNA from 1 species
GACGAACGCUGGCGGCGCGCCUAAUACAUGCAAGUAGAACGCUGAAGGAGGAGCUUGCUUCUCUGGAUGAGUUGCGAACGGGUGAGUAACGCGUAUGUAACCUGCCUGGUAGCGGGGGAUAACUAUUGGAAACGAUAGCUAAUACCGCAUAAUAUUGACUAUUGCAUGAUAGUCAGUUGAAAGGUGCAACUGCACCACUACCAGAUGGACCUGCGUUGUAUUAGCUAGUUGGUGGGGUAACGGCUCACCAAGGCGACGAUACAUAGCCGACCUGAGAGGGGGAUCGGCCAAACUGGGACUGAGACACGGCCCAGACUCCUACGGGAGGCAGCAGUAGGGAAUCUUCGGCAAUGGACGGAAGUCUGACCGAGCAACGCCGCGUGAGUGAAGAAGGGUUUCGGAUCGUAAAGCUCUGUUGUAAGAGAAGAACGAGUGUGAGAGUGGAAAGCUCACACUGUGACGGUAUCUUACCAGAAAGGGACGGCUAACUACGUG